GAAGGAUAAGAAGAAUCAGAAUUCCUGAUGACAUCAGAGCAACAAUAGUAGACCAUGUAAUCAACCAUGGAAUGACCCUAAGGGAAGCUGGCCAACGGGUUCAGCCUAACCUCAGCCGCUACACUGUAGCAAGUAUCAUAAGGACAUUUCGAAAUGAGAAUCGAGUUGCUAGAAAUCCAGCAUCUGGGGGCAGACAAAGAAUGUUCACUGAAGAACAAGAGACUCAUAUAGUCAAUAUGGUGUUGGCCAAUAAUUCCAUUAGGCUGCGAGAAAUACAGCAGCGCAUAAUAGAGGAUACCAUCACAUUCCAAAACAUAAACUACGUGAGCAUCUCUGCAUUAUCUCGUGUACUGGCACGAAAUAGAAUAAGAAUGAAACAAAUUUACAGAGUCCCUUUUGAAAGAAACAGUGAGCGCAUAAAACAACUGCGAUAUGAAUAUGUUCAGAGAGUGAUGGAGCUAGAGGCAGAUGCCAUGGGUCAUGAACUGAUUUAUGUAGAUGAGGC